UACGAAGGGGGCUAGCGUUGUUCGGAAUUACUGGGCGUAAAGCGCGCGCAGGCGGUUCUCCAAGUCAGUGGUGAAAGCCCGGAGCUCAACUCCGGAACUGCCAUUGAAACUGUUGAACUUGAGGACGAGAGAGGUGAGUGGAAUUCCCAGUGUAGAGGUGAAAUUCGUAGAUAUUGGGAAGAACACCAGUGGCGAAGGCGGCUCACCUGGGCUCGUAUCUGACGCUCAGGCGCGAUAGCGUGGGGGAUCAAAACAGG
rnacentral:rRNA from 1 species